rnacentral:rRNA from 1 species
GACGAACGCUGGCGGCGUGCUUAACACAUGCAAGUCGAACGGAAAGGCCCUGCUUUUGUGGGGUGCUCGAGUGGCGAACGGGUGAGUAACACGUGAGUAACCUGCCCUUGACUUUGGGAUAACUUCAGGAAACUGGGGCUAAUACCGGAUAGGAGCUCCUGCUGCAUGGUGGGGGUUGGAAAGUUUCGGCGGUUGGGGAUGGACUCGCGGCUUAUCAGCUUGUUGGUGGGGUAGUGGCUUACCAAGGCUUUGACGGGUAGCCGGCCGGAGAGGGUGACCGGCCACAUGGGGACUGAGAUACGGCCCAGACUCCUACGGGAGGCAGCAGUGGGGAAUAUUGCACAAUGGGCGGAAGCCUGAUGCAGCACCGCCGCGUGCGGGAUGACGGCCUUCGGGUUGUAAACCGCUUUCGCCUGUGACGAAGCGUGAGUGACGGGAAUGGGUAAAGAAGCACCGGCUAACUACG